rnacentral:rRNA from 1 species
AUACGGGAGGCAGCAGUGGGGAAUCUUGCGCAAUGGGCGAAAGCCUGACGCAGCGACGCCGCGUGAGCGAUGAAGGCCUUCGGGUUGUAAAGCUCUGUGGGGAGAGACGAAUAAGGUGCAGCUAAUACCUGCAUCGAUGACGGUAUCUCCUUAGCAAGCACCGGCUAACUCUGUGCCAGCAGCCGCGGUAAGACAGAGGGUGCAAACGUUGUUCGGAAUUACUGGGCGUAAAGCGCGUGUAGGCGGCAGCGUGUGUCGGGCGUGAAAUCCCAUGGCUCAACCAUGGAAGUGCACCCGAAACUGCGCAGCUAGAGUCCUGGAGAGGAAGGUGGAAUACUUGGUGUAGAGGUGAAAUUCGUAGAUAUCAAGUGGAACACCGGUGGCGAAGGCGGCCUUCUGGACAGUGACUGACGCUGAGACGCGAAAGCGUGGGGAGCAAACAGGAUUAGAAACCCCUGUAGUCC